rnacentral:lncRNA from 1 species
AUGAAGGACCUGGAAUUCAAAGAAGUAAAUUGUUCUGGAACCCAAGUCUUCUAUUUUGAGUUCAAACUUGACUGCUCAGACAUGAAGAAUGUCAUGAAAAAUGGCAUCUUAGGCAAACAUUUGCUGCAAACCAAGCUCUGCAUUAACGUCUGUCUGUUGUGGAAAAAAUGGUAAAGUACGAUCUUUCAGUCAGACCCUCUUGCUUAUGUGUACACAAUCAGAUUAUAAACAUUACCUACAAAGUUAUAUUUGAGUUUAAAU